CAGAGAGAAACCUGGUCUGGAAUGCUGCUGGAGCUCAUUCUGCUUCUGAUUUAAUCGGUUUUUCUCGCACACAGUCGACUUGUCGUCUGUUCACUUACAGUCUCCUCACAGCUCUGAGAAGAGAAGCAUCAAAAUCGCCACACAAACAACUUGAUACAUAAACUCAGAUACAACCUCAUUAUGUAUGCAUACAGUCAAGGGGUGAGUCAAACAAGGGUCAUAGUCCAGCAACAGACCCAAGCUGCAGUAAUCCAGGCUCCAAAGCCAGCAAUGGUACUUCAGGCUGGGGCUUCGCCUGUUGUGUACCAGCAAGCUCCUCAACCAGCCUAUGUGAUGCAGCCCGCAGUUCAACCCGCUGUUCAAGUAGUCCAGCCCCAGGUUAUGCCAAGAGUGAUCCAGCCUGUGGCUCAGCCAGGGGUCGCAGUCUACCAAGCCCCACCAGGUGCCGUGGUGUAUCCACGUUAUUACUGAUUUCAUCUCCAACUUGAACCCGGAGAACCCGGAGAACCCAGAGAACCUGGAGAACUCCUGCCUGACAUGACAAAGUCUACACAUAUGGGGGUCUAUAAAAUAUAUGGAAUUUAAAAAUAAUCAGUAAGGAAAAGUGUAUUCUCUAUAAAAAUAAAUCACUAGGAAAGGUUUUGCUUUAAUUUUGAGGUCUUGAUAACUUUGGGUGUCUAUUAAUAAAAUAUUAAACCAGUAGAGCAAUUACAGUUUCACUUUUCUACCUAUUGUAAUGUAUAGAAGAUAGAACAUGUCUAGAUGUGCUGAAAUGAAUGUUUUCCAAUCCUGCAGCGAUACCAAACUUCAAAAGCAGUUUGCUUCCCGAAAUUGAGUUAUUUUUGUGGCACCCAGUUCAUUAGUGUGAUCUUAUAAAGUUAUUAGUGCACAAGGUAA